rnacentral:rRNA from 1 species
UAGUCCACGCCGUAAACGAUGUCUAUUAGGAGUCUGUGUCCUUGAGACGUGGGUUCCAAAGCUAACGCAUUAAAUAGACCGCCUGGGGAGUACGGCCGCAAGGUUAAAACUCAAAUGAAUUGACGGGGGCCCGCACAAGCGGUGGAGCAUGUGGUUUAAUUCGAUGCAACGCGAAGAACCUUACCUACUCUUGACAUCCAGCGAACUUGGUAGAGAUACCUUGGUGCCUUCGGGAACGCUGAGACAGGUGCUGCAUGGCUGUCGUCAGCUCGUGUUGUGAAAUGUUGGGUUAAGUCCCGCAACGAGCGCAACCCUUGUCCUAUGUUGCCAGCACUUCGGGUGGGAACUCAUGGGAGACUGCCGGUGAUAAGCCGGAGGAAGGUGGGGACGACGUCAAGUCAUCAUGGCCCUUACGAGUAGGGCUACACACGUGCUACAAUGGUCGGUACAAAGGGUUGCCAACUAGCGAUAGUGAGCCAAUCCCAUAAAGCCGGUCGUAGUCCGGAUCGGAGU